rnacentral:lncRNA from 1 species
CUGUAGUCAGCCAGGAGCUUGUACUGCAAUUGACAGGGCUAUUCAUGGAAAGGGUUUUGAUUAGAGUUGCCAUGACAAUGGGAAACACCUAAAAAAGAUCUAUGAAAUGUUAUAUCGGCAUCAAGCCAAGAAGUUAAGCCAAAUCCUGUGCUCUGGUUAUUCCUGUGAGUCAGUGCCUUUCAUCACAGCAUUGCUAAAAGAAGGAUUUGCUCGUCUGACUUUGAAGAUUUGGGAGAAACAGAGCACCCUGAUGGACCAGCUGCCUGAAGGGGACAGGUGGAUUUUAUCCAUUCAGGACAGCAGUGCAGGGUACAAAACACAGCCAGGGAGGGGCAUCAUCUCCUGCUUCUCCUCCUGUCUCCACCCCACCUAACAGCUCAGCAGCAGAAAGGACAGGCUUGUGUUCAAAGAGAAUAAUGGCACUGAUUUAGGAGAUCCUGGCAAGCAGAAAGCCAUUUCACACUGCCCUGGGAAACACGAGUCAGCCUGGGGAUAUCCUGAUUUUCUGUGUCAGGUGGAGCACUAAGGAAGACACUGCUGCUGACCACAAACAUUGACUGCCAAGCCUGAAGGAUAUGUCACUGUCCAAUGCAUGUUGUCAAGUGAAACAUGGUGUUUAUUUUCACUUUACAAUUUACAGAAUCAACAAGAUCCACAAGGCAUGGAUGGAUCUGGGUACCUCAGUCAGGACCCAAAGAACAGCUCAGUGAUGGAUAAAACUCACCCCUGUGCACCAGAGCAAUGCUGUAGAUGAACAGGGAAAGGCUGAUGUCCAGCUCUGACUCCAAGGGCAUCUGGAAUUAAAGAGCAGUAGUAACCCUGCAGCAGCAAGAAAGGAAAAUGACUGUGAUCAUUAACUGCACAGCUAUAAAUUCUCUGGGAUGAGAAACUUUCACACAGUUGUGAAGAAGCCAUCAUCAGCAUGGGCUCUGGUGCACAUGCACACACACACAGCAUAUGUACACACAGAGAGAUCAAUAGAUUGCAUAUGGUGCACAUGGCAUAAUUCAUGAUUCUUCCUGAAGGCUGUCACAAAUCUGAGAUGUAUUGGUUAAGAAGAGUACAGGGGUAGUCUUUUAAUUAGUCCACAGCUUGGCUGCAUUGUAAAAUUUACUCUCUGACAUUGCAGCCAAAAUUUACAACCUUUUAAAUCAAAGGAACAUCUCAUAGUCUGAGUUUUUGCUAAUAGGAGGUGUUAAUGAUAAAAGCACAAGCCUGGAAAAGUAACAUGUUAGACAAUUACUCAUAACAUUCAGAAGUGUUUCUCAGGCCAAGGUGUUAUCCUAUAAAAAUUAAUUCGAAAAUAUAUGGGGCUCCCAGAUGCCUUACUCAUAUCUGUAUAUUACCUGCCUGAUGCUGGUGGAAGGAAAGCUGCCCUUUGCUCCUCUGAGGUGAAUUCUUCCCAGAAGUGCUGUUAAA